UACGGAAGGCAGCAGUGGGGAAUAUUGCACAAUGGGCGAAAGCCUGAUGCAGCUAUGCCGCGUGUAUGAAGAAGGCCUUAGGGUUGUAAAGUACUUUCAUCGGGGAGGAAAAACAAAACUAAUAAUUUUAUUUCUUGACGUUACCCGAAAAAGAAGCACCGGCUAACUCCGUGCCAGCAGCCGCGGUAAUACGGAGGGUGCUAGCGUUAAUCAGAAUUACUGGGCGUAAAGAGCACGUAGGUGGUUUUUUUAAGUCAGAUGUGAAAUCCCCUGGGCUUAACCUAGGAAACUGCAUUUUGAAACUGAAAUACUAGAGUAUCGUAGAGGGAGGUAGAAUUCUAGGUGUAGCGGUGAAAUGCGUAGAUAUCUGGAGGAAUACCUGUGGCGAAAGCGGCCUCCUAAACGAAUACUGACACUGAGGUGCGAAAGCGUGGGGAGCAAACAGGGAUUAGAUACC
rnacentral:rRNA from 1 species